rnacentral:rRNA from 1 species
UCGGAGAGUUUGAUCCUGGCUCAGGAUGAACGCUGGCGGCGUGCCUAAUACAUGCAAGUCGAGCGAACUGAUUAGAAGCUUGCUUCUAUGACGUUAGCGGCGGACGGGUGAGUAACACGUGGGCAACCUGCCUGUAAGACUGGGAUAACUUCGGGAAACCGAAGCUAAUACCGGAUAGGAUCUUCUCCUUCAUGGGAGAUGAUUGAAAGAUGGUUUAGGCUAUCACUUACAGAUGGGCCCGCGGU